UUUUUUUUUUUUUUUUGAGAGAGAGAUGGGUAGCAUGCGGCCCGCUUCGUUUAUUUCAUUUAGAGAUAAAUUUAACUAGAAAUAUGAAUCAACUAGGAUUCGAACUUGGAACCUCAGGUACCAACCACCAAGCCGUUUACCACUUGCUCUAGGAAUGGUCGGUUGGCCCCAAAUUGUUGUUGAUACUAUUAGUAAGAGUUAUCUAAAUACUAUUUAAGUUAAAAGGAGUCAGAGCGGAAGCAUAUCGAUUUGUCUUUUAUAUUCUAUUAGGAUCACAGAAAUUAUAUUAACAAACUAGUGCAAUUUGUUGAAAAUAUUAUUUACUCCAAUACUAACAAUAGAGAUUGGUAAUUGUCACUACAACAAAAACGGUUUAUAGCGACACUUUUAAAUAUAGGUACAUGUCAAAAAAGUGCUGCUAGCUAAAAUUACCGACACUUUUAAAAAGUAUUGCUAUAUGUGGGGUCGCUAGGUAUAUAGUGACAGUUAAAGAGUGUCGCUAUAACCUAAAAGAGUGCUGCUAAUUUACCAACACUUAUUUAAGCAUUUAGCAACCGCCGAAACUUUAUCUCGUUGGCUGCGGUGGCGGAGGAGAACGACAGGAAAGGCUAUUCGUCUAGAAUUUCAGUGGAUUGAGUGAAGAGAGAAAAAAAAAUGGUAAUUGAUUUUUCUUUUUUUUUUCUUUUCUGUUUGUAAUCGGACCAAAUGUACUGGGUGUGGUGGGUUGAGUAGAAUAAUCUUUUAUUUUUGGUUGGAUUGGGCUUUAUAUUUAGGCAUUAGUAGAUGUUUUUUUUAAGUUUUAGCAUAAAUAGGACACUUACUCAAAAAUGUUCCAAACAUGUGUCCCUAUAAGCUAAUUCUGUUGUAGUGUGUACUGAUACUAAUUGUAUUACUCAAGAUCAUGAAAAUAUUAAAAUAGAACAAUAAGAGCAAAAAAGAUAAUUAUAGGCAACAUAUUUGAUUAAUCAAAUACUAAUACAUGCGGCCCGGUCUAGGACAACUGCUAGCUUGGGCUGUAGUGUGCCUGCCUACGGUGGGAGACCCAUAUAUAGUUAGACCCUAUGUAUAUAUAGGUGAGCACAUCAAAGGGCUGUCAACGAGCCGAAUACGAGCAAGCUAGGCCAGCUCAUCAUCGACUCAUUCAAUAAAUAAGUCGAACACAAGCUAGCUCGUUAAAGUAUCAAGUUGAAAAAUUUACCUUGUGUUCGGCAUGUUUAUUAAUGAGCCAAACACAAAUUAUCUCGCAAGCAACAAGUUAGAUUUUCAGCCCAAAAAAAUUAAAAAAUUAGAAUCUUAAUAUAAUAAUUGAAAUUCACAAAUAUUGAUCUCUUUACAUUUGGAUUGAUCUAAAGUCCAAAUAGCCGAAUAGUAAAAAUUUAUAAUAAAUAAAUAAAUAUUUAGAAAGAGAGAGUUGGGGUGCGUUUACAAGCACCAAAGUGUUAGUUCGAUAAAAUUUUUGACCAUUAGAUCAAUCCUAACAACCUUUAAAUCAUGUAUAAUUGUAGGCCCUAUAAGUAUCACUUGUGAGACCCUAGAUAAUCAUAUAUAUAAAAUAUAAUAGGACUAAAACUUUUUAACCCGGCUAUAGAAUUUUGAGCAGCGGCUAGGCCUAAGAGGUUAAGAGAAUUAAGCGUGCUAAUGUUAGAGUAGUUCUAGGAUGGAUGACCUUUGGGAAGUGGGGCGUUACAGUUAGUAUUAGAGUCAAUUACUAGCCAUAAGUAUGAGAUGAGUUUCGGCUAAGCUAGAAUCACUACUAUAAAUUCAUGAUUUUAACGCCAUUUACUCCGCAACAUUUAUUUAAAUAACGCUAAUUAAUAUAUUUAACAGCAUUACUUGAUAAGUGCCGCUAAAUUUAAUAAUUUAGCAGCAAUUUAUUAUUAAUGUUGCAAAAUAGAAUAAAUUAGCAGCAAAAAUUAGUGAAAUGCCGCCGAUGUUUCCAGCAUUUUAUAAAAAAUGACACUAAAUGUAAUAAAGUAGCAGCACUUACUGCUAAAUGCCGCAAUAUUUGCUCCGCAACAUUUAUUUAAAUCAUACCAAUUAAUAUAUUUAGCAGAAUUACAUGAUAAUUACCGCUAGAUUUAAUUAUUUAGCAGCAACUUACUAUUAAUGUUGCAAAAUAGGAUAAAUUAGCAGCAUAAAUUAGUGAAUGCCGCUAAAUAUAAUAAAUUAGCAGCACUUAUUACUAAAUAUCAUUACUAAUUAAUAUAUAAUUAUUAAUAUAUCCAUUUUUAUUUAGAAUUAAAAAUUUUAAAAUUAAAGUUUAAAAUUCGAAACAUAUAAAUUUAAAACUUAAAAUUAUAAAUUAAAUUUUAAAAGUUUAAAAUUUAUAUUUUAAAUUAAUUUAAAAUUUAAAAUUUAAAAUUUAAAACUAUUAAUUUUGAAACUUAAAAUUUCAUAUUUCAAAAUUAAAAAUUUAAAUUUAGUAUCUAAAUUUAAAAAUUUAAAUUUUAAAAUUUUAAAAUUUUAAAAUAAAAGACUUAAAACUUAAAAAAUUAUAAUAUACAUAACUAAUAGUCGCUAGCGCAUGUGGCAAAGGGCUUGGUGCUUGGUACUCGAGGUCUCAAGUUUGAAUCCUAAUUGAUUCACAUUUCCAGCAAAGUUUAAUUUAAAAAGAAAUAAACGAAGCGAGUAGCAUUUAAAAUAAAAUUAAAAUUUUAAAAUUUUAAUUUCUAAAAUCAUAUAUUUGUAUUAGCGGUAUUAUAUUUAUGUACCACUAAUAAACAAUUUAAAAUUAGCAUUUAAUCCCUUUUAGCGGCAUAUUUCUAAUGACACUAAUUGAUUUAUAUUGGCGGCAUUUAUAAUAAAUGAUGCUAAUACUUUUAGCAAUAUUGGCAUAGGCAGCAUUUGGUGUCAUAUACUGCUAAAAGUUUUAGCAGCAUUUGUUAAUCAUUUAGCAACAUAAAUAAAUACCACUAAUGACUAAUUUUCUAGUAGUGAAUUAUACAGCUAGAAGAGUGAUACUCUUAUGUUGUUGACUAUUGUGGAUCGAGUGCGGCUCUCUCAUAAGAUCAGUUAAGGCUAGCGAGAUAAAUUUCAAAUCAUCUGAUACUUGUGAGUUUGAGACUGAUGAAGACGUCAGGGCCUAAAGGGGGAAGAAUGUGAGACUCCAGAUAAUUCUAUAUAUAAGAUAUAAUAUGACUAAAACUCUUAACUCGCCUAUAGCAUUUUGGACUGUGGUUAGGUCCAAGAGAUUAAGAAAGCUAAACGUGCAAGAGCUAGAGUAGUCCUAGGAUGGG
rnacentral:lncRNA from 1 species